UUCUGGUCCAAAGAUGGCUGCCACGGCUCCAGGGCUCGUUGCUUCCUUGUUCACAUCCACUAGUUACUAGUUCAGAGACAGGUCCAUCAGCAUCCAAUCAGAGUGAAUCCAACAGCUGCUAUGGAAAGCUACUAGGAAGUGACCCCCUCUGCGCUGGGAUCUAAGAGAUUAAAAGGGCGGAGCUGCCACGGCCAUCUUGGCAUCACAAGGUAGGGAGCACCAAGUAUGAGCCAGGAAACAGUGAAGGCUAGAAUAAUUUGAGCCUGGAUCAAGCCCCCAUCCUUGGACAUUUUAGUUACAUACACCCAUACGGUCUUUUUCUGAGGCUAGGGCUGGGAAUUACCAUCAAUCACAACCAAAAUCCUAUCUGAUUCAUGACACCUGGAGAAACUGAGCCUCAGAAAGGUGGCACAGGUGGAAAGAGAUGGCACUGCUGGUGAGUGGUGGUGUAGAGACGCAGGCCAGGCCCUCCAGCCCCGAUCCUGCUACCUCUCACCCCAGGGCCUGCUGCUACCUUGGGAGGAUCACAUUCAGGUGUCCAGCUGGUGGCCCCGCCACGGUACAGCAG
rnacentral:lncRNA from 1 species